rnacentral:snRNA from 1 species
GUGCUCACUUCAGCAGCACAUAUACUAAAAUUGGAACAAUACAGGGAAGAUUAGCAUGACCCCUGUGCAAGGGUAACAUGCAAAUUCGUGAAGCAUUCCAUAUUUUU